GCCGGGCAUGGUGGUGCUUGCCUGUAGUCCCAGCUACUCUGGAGGCUGAGGCGGGAGAAUUGCUUGAACCCAGGAGGUGGAGGCUGCAGUGAGCUGAGAUGGUGCCACUGCACUCCAGCCUGGGCAACAGAGCAAGACUCUGUCUCAA
rnacentral:SRP_RNA from 1 species